rnacentral:rRNA from 1 species
UUGACGGGACCCGCACAAGCGGUGGAUGAUGUGGAUUAAUUCGAUGCAACGCGAAAACCUUACCUACCCUUGACAUGUCUGGAACCUUGGUGAGAGCCGAGGGUGCCUUCGGAGCCAGAACACAGGUGCUGCAUGGCUGUCGUCAGCUCGUGUCGUGAGAUGUUGGGUUAAGUCCCGCAACGAGCGCAACCCUUGUCACUAGUUGCCAUCAUUUAGUUGGGCACUCUAGUGAGACUGCCGGUGACAAACCGGAGGAAGGUGGGGAUGACGUCAAGUCCUCAUGGCCCUUAUGGGUAGGGCUUCACACGUCAUACAAUGGUCGGUACAGAGGGUUGCCAACCCGCGAGGGGGAGCUAAUCCCACAAAGCCGAUCGUAGUCCGGAUCGCAGUCUGCAACUCGACUGCGUGAAGUCGGAAUCGCUAGUAAUCGUGGAUCAGCAUGCUUCGGUGAAUACGUUCCCGGGCCUU